rnacentral:rRNA from 1 species
UACAGAGGUCUCAAGCGUUGUUCGGAUUCAUUGGGCGUAAAGGGUGCGUAGGCGGCGCGGUAAGUCGGGUGUGAAAUCUCGGAGCUUAACUCCGAAACUGCAUUCGAUACUGCCGUGCUUGAGGACUGGAGAGGAGACUGGAAUUUACGGUGUAGCGGUGAAAUGCGUAGAUAUCGAUAAGGAAGACCAGUGGCGGAAGGCGGGUCUGC